rnacentral:rRNA from 1 species
AGAUUGAACGCUGGCGGCAUGCCUUACACAUGCAAGUCGAACGGCAGCACGGGAGCAAUCCUGGUGGCGAGUGGCGAACGGGUGAGUAAUACAUCGGAACGUGCCCAAUCGUGGGGGAUAACGCAGCGAAAGCUGUGCUAAUACCGCAUAAGAUCUACGGAUGAAAGCAGGGGAUCGCAAGACCUUGCGCGAAUGGAGCGGCCGAUGGGCAGAUUAGGUAGUUGGUGAGGUAAAGGCUCACCAAGCCUUCGAUCUGUAGCUGGUCUGAGAGGACGACCAGCCACACUGGGACUGAGACACGGCCCAGACUCCUACGGGAGGCAGCAGUGGGGAAUUUUGGACAAGUGGGCGAAAGCCUGAUCCAGCCAUGCCGCGUGCAGGAUGAACGGCCGUUCGGUUGUAAAC